UACAGAGGGUGCGAGCGUUGUUCGGAAUUAUUGGGCGUAAAGGGCGCGUAGGCGGUGCCACAAGUCACUUGUGAAAUCCCCGGGCUUAACUCGGGGCCUGCAGGCGAAACUGUGGUGCUGGAGUAUGGGAGAGGUGCGUGGAAUUCCCGGUGUAGCGGUGAAAUGCGCAGAUAUCAGGAGGAACACCGGUGGCGAAGGCGGGUCUCUGGGCCGAUACUGACGCUGAGGAGCGAAAGCGUGGGGAGCGAACAGG
rnacentral:rRNA from 1 species